rnacentral:rRNA from 1 species
AUACGGAAGGUCCGGGCGUUAUCCGGAUUUAUUGGGUUUAAAGGGAGCGCAGGCGGGAUAUUAAGCGUGACGUGAAAUGUAGAUGCUCAACAUCUGAACUGCGUCGCGAACUGGCUUCCUUGAGUGCAUUCGACGUCAGCGGAAUUUGUGGUGUAGCGGUGAAAUGCUUAGAUAUCACGAAGAACUCCGAUUGCGAAGGCUGCUGACGAGACUGUAACUGACGCUAAAGCUCGAAAGGGCGGGUAUCGAACAGGAUUAGAUACCCUGGUAGUCCGCACGGUAAACGAUGGAUGCCCGCUGUUUGCGAUAUAUUGUAAGCGGCCAAGCGAAAGCGUUAAGCAUCCCACCUGGGGAGUACGCCGGCAACGGUGAAACUCAAAUGAAUUGGCGGGG